AUAGAGCAACACGUUCUAUGCAGUUUAUGAA
rnacentral:antisense_RNA from 1 species